rnacentral:rRNA from 1 species
UACAGAGACUGCAAGCGUUAUUCGGAAUCACUGGGCGUAAAGGGCGCGUAGGUGGCGUCGUAAGUCUGUGGUGAAAGCCCGGAGCUCAACUCCGGGUCUGCCGCGGAUACUGCGAGGCUUGAGUGCUGUAGAGGGGGGGUAGAAUGCCGGGUGUAGCGGUGGAAUGCGUAGAGAUCCGGCAGAAGACCGGUGGCGAAGGCGGCCCCCUGGGCAGUAACUGACACUGAGGCGCGACAGCGUGGGGAGCAAACAGG